rnacentral:rRNA from 1 species
ACGAACGCUGGCGGCGUGCCUAAUACAUGCAAGUCGAGCGGAGUGAUGAAGAAGCUUGCUUCUUCUGAUUUUAGCGGCGGACGGGUGAGUAACACGUGGGCAACCUACCUUGUAGAUUGGGAUAACUCCGGGAAACCGGGGCUAAUACCGAAUAAUCCAUUUUGCUUCAUGGCGAGAUGUUGAAAGACGGUUUCGGCUGUCACUAUAAGAUGGGCCCGCGGCGCAUUAGCUAGUUGGUAGGGUAAUGGCCUACCAAGGCGACGAUGCGUAGCCGACCUGAGAGGGUGAUCGGCCACACUGGGACUGAGACACGGCCCAGACUCCUACGGGAGGCAGCAGUAGGGAAUCUUCCACAAUGGACGAAAGUCUGAUGGAGCAACGCCGCGUGAGUGAAGAAGGUUUUCGGAUCGUAAAACUCUGUUGUAAGGGAAGAACACGUACGAGAGUAACUGCUCGUACCUUGACGGUACCUUAUUAGAAAGCCACGGCUAACUACGUG